UACGAACUGUGCAAACGUUAUUCGGAAUCACUGGGCUUAAAGGGUGCGUAGGCGGCUGUCUAAGCAGGGUGUGAAAGCCCCCGGCUCAACCGGGGAAUUGCGUUCUGAACUGGACGGCUGGAGUGGGAUAGAGGUGUGCGGAACUUCCGGUGGAGCGGUGAAAUGUGUUGAUAUCGGAAGGAACGCCGGUGGCGAAAGCGGCACACUGGGUCUCAACUGACGCUGAGGCGCGAAAGCCAGGGGAGCGAACGGGG
rnacentral:rRNA from 1 species